UUAAUACAAAUGCUGACGAGUCGACGAAGAAGUUAUUUUGGCAUUUGUUGAAAAAAAAUGAAAAGAGUAGAAGGCUAGAGUUAAAAAAAUAGGAUAUAUGUCAUUCGACAAUGAUGUUGAUAUGCUAACUCAUCGACCCGAAAGAGUACAUGAGCAUCAAUGGCGGAGCUUGCUCUAUUAUUGGGCCACUCGGAAGACACAGGUAUCAUUUAAUAAAAAAAGUACAAAAAACAAAUAAAUUCGGAAGAAGAAGACAUUAAAUCACAUAACCGGCAGAAAACCAUUCUUAGUUGCUUGAGUAGAGGUAAAUAGUUUCUUUAUAUAUCAAAUUGAAAUUGUAUAUUUUGAUUUUGUUACUCAUUUUUAAUUGUGAUUAUAGGAAACAAAUAAGAAGAAUGGAGUUCCUGCAACUUGCUUAAAGGUGUGGAUGGCUGGGUACUCAAAGGAUAACAAACCAAGUACUGAUAAAGUUGCUGAGGUGAUAGUAUGUAGCCUGGUUGCUUCUCUCUCUCACACAUAGCUAUGAUUGUUUUCAUGAUUCUCUUUUCAGUUUUGUUGAUAUAAAUUUUAUUGAUGGCUAAUUAACUAAUUAACAAUUGCCGACACAAAUGAAGGAGCUUGGGGCGCAAUCCAAUGCUACAGAUAAAGAGAUUAUCACACAGGUUUGCAACUGAAUGACAUUGUAUUGAAUUGUCUAAAUAUUAUAUGUCAUCGUCAUGCAUUAUAAGUUUCUUUAAUUUGGGGUACAAUGAUCGUGAUUAUAAGUUUGUUAACUUUUCUUUCAUAGACUGUGUGCUUGAUGGGAGUUAUUGAGAAAUACAAGGAAUUGGCCAAGUACAAUCUUAGGCAGCUAUCAUCCAAACCAUAGUUCCUUCCACACUUUUUUGGGUAUUAUUAUAAUUGGGAGUUUCUUUGUAGUUUUUGUCAGAUGUUAUCAAAUCAUUGUUAGGUUAAAGAUUUUGAUGAAAAUCAAAAGAUGAAUGAAAGAUCUUGGACCUGAGAGGAUGAGGGGCUGUUUUCUUUUCAAUUAUUUAAUAACAUGCUUAUCAUUCUAAAAGUUCAAUGUAGCAUAGCUAUGUUUUUAUUACCCCUAUUAAUUUUACUUCUGGAGGCUUUGUUAAGCUGUUUGACUAAGCAGUACUUGGAGUGAGGAGAGCUAUAAGUUGUUGGAGUUGUCAUCUUUUAGCCUAUUUUCCUAUGAACUCAAUACUCCAUUUAACACUGUUAUUCUUUAUUGAGCUGAGUGUUCACUGUGUGGAUUGAGUGAUUUAGUUGUCCUAUGUUGUGAGUUUGCUACAAACAGUGUUAUAUUGGUCCUUAAUGCUAUAUUUCAUAUGUGUGCUCUUAUAAUUCUAGGUCAGCUUUAUCUCUGUUGGGACAUGAAGAUAUAUGCAUAUGGUCUACAUAUUGUCCAGGUUGAUGCUAGAGUGUAUAGAGGAA